UCUAUGUUUGGAAAGCCUCAGCAAAUGUGGGACACAAAAGCAGUAAACAAAUCAAUGGAGUGCCAGACCAAAUGUGUUUCACAUUUGUGAAAAUAACAAAGUUGAGUCAGGAAGAAAGGUUUAUGUGUCUUCUCCUCAUACAAUCCUUCCCAAGGUACUUUCUUUCAAUCCCCCCAAAAUUAAAUCCAGCCCAGACAGCAGCAAUAUUUGUGAGUACACAGCAUCAACCAAAUGCAUUGCAAAGCCACUGACAGCUCCAUGUGGCUUGGCAUGAAGCAGGGCUCAGAGGGGUGAGCAGGUGUUUCCUCCCACUCUUCCUCCACACCCAGGCACAAGGAUGUGCUGCCAACCACAGCACUGCUGGAAGGAACAAUCUGUGCCUCACCUGCUGCUUGCAGUGCGCCCAAGCUGAGGAGCAGGGCUGGAAACUUCUUCCCACACAGCUCUCAAAUCUCUGCUCUUGCCAAGAAUUCCUGCAAGGGAGAAUCGCUGGGUCAUUUCUGGAGCCACGAGAAAGACCCUGUGACACCUGCCUCUGUUUGUGCCAGGGAUGGAAAGCCUUUUUGAGGGACUUGUGAACUCACAGGAAUCAGCUCACCUCUCCUGAACAGCCUCUGUUCUAGGUCAGCCUUCUCAAGGCAUCAGGAGUGGACUAAAUGCUUCUCUCACCCUGCUUUUUGAUCUGACCACUUGUGAUUGCAAUCUCUCAGUCUCACACUAAGCCUUCCAGCACAGCACAUCCCAGGAGCCAGAAUGUUCUCCUGGCUGGACUUGCAGCUGCAGGAUGUGAAGCGCUUCAAACUGGUGUUGAGUCAAUGCCACCUUGUGACACAUCAGCAGUAAGAGAUUCACAGGACAUCUCCCAGAACUGAGCAUUUGGAGGGUGAGGAGACAGCAGUAUCUCAGCUCACCUGUCAAUAGUACCGUGGAAAGAGAGACAGGAAAAUGGCUCCUGCUGCGAAAACAGAAAUGCUGCAAUCUCACUUCGCCUGUUAUGGAAACAUGACCACUGUCUUUUCUAUCUUUGAAAAACAAAAAGACAAAUAAAAAAUAUUAUUAUUUGUUCUGACAAUUACAGUGAUCUUUAAACCUGAAAUUUGGCCUCUUAAUGAUUUCUGGCCUCACAGUUUCCUUUAAAAUUCCUAUGAAAAAAAAAGCUUUCUGCAUGUGCAUUUGGAGCAACUGCAAGUAUUCCACUGUGCAGCUACAGAUAAACCAAAUUUCCAACAAGCUGGUUCCAACAUCUGCCUCCUGUCUCAACCUGGUUUGAGGCAGUCAGUCCAUUGGCUGGUGGCCCCUGUGCAGAUCACAGGUUUUGCUUGCAUUGACAGUUCAUUGCAUGCAAUAUCCAGAUAAAGUCCCUGGCAGGUUCAGAACCUUUGGAGAAGUCAGCCAGGAAAGUCAUCUUUGUGCCAGCAAGGCACUGCCUGCCCUGGGCUGCAGUUAAUGGCCUUUUGUUAAAUUCAGUAGCUGUCUCAAGAGUUCAGAAGAGAAAUAUGAGGCUGUGAUUUAAUGAAGUAAUUUGAUUACAUAGAAAUCAAUCCUCUGCUAGGAUUUGAUAACUUCAAUAAAAAUGCCUACCAAAUUUGA